GGUGGAGACUUCCAAAGGGAUCGCAUUGAUCUAAUUCUUGCAUUCCCAUGCAGUUCUGGUUUUUUUAACCCUUUUUACUGCUUCACUGAUUUGGAUCAUGCGAUCCCUUAGGAAUUUUCCAU
rfam:Phaseolus vulgaris cultivar G19833 chromosome 7, whole genome shotgun sequence.